UACGUAGGGAGCGAGCGUUGUCCGAAGUUACUGGGCGUAAAGCGCGCGUAGGCGGGCUGUUAAGUGAGAGGUGAAAGGCUGGGGCUUAACCCCAUGCAGUGCCUCUCAUACUGGCGGUCUUGAGUGCGGCAGGGAGAAGUGGAAUGGCUGGUGUAGCGGUGAAAUGCGCAGAUAUCAGGAAGAACACCCGUGGCGAAGGCGGCUUUCUGGGACGGUACUGACGCUGAGACGCGAAAGCGUGGGGGAGCGAACAGG
rnacentral:rRNA from 1 species